UAUGCUGAAAUGUUUCUCUUGAUGUUUUUGUUUCUUAUCAGGUUCCGUGACUCUGUUUAGUAUGCUGUACAUUUUGAAUAACACAUUAUAUUCUUUUCCCCCCACAUUUUUUUUUCAGAUCCUCUAGGAACAGAGUUGGCUGCUUAUAAAGCAGUAACUGGCAUAUUAAUUUUCUUGAUCUUGGGUGUCAUUCUGGUUCAGUUCAGUCGGCCCACGUACAAAGCCAUCCGCAAAAGAUUUUCACAAAAACGUCAGAAUCGCUGGGUCGGCCCGACUCAGAGCGUGUGCUAUCACAGAGGUCAAGGACCCCCAAACAAAAACACAGACAAGAGACAGUCCUUUCCUGGUUUGGAGAGGCUGACGGUAAACCAGAGCAGAGAACCCUCAUCCAACAGAAACAGUGACUAUGACUCAUACAGCUGAAGGCCUGUGCUCACAAAAGACUUACUGACCCUAAGCACAACUCUCGUCAUCUACAAUCAGCAGAUUGUUUUACAUUACACGGCUUCGGUUGUUUGGCAAGUCAAGAAAGCUGUAAAUAUCUUUGAAAAGUAUAGCUGAGAAAUUCAUUUAGGAUAAAAUAAAAAUAAUAAUUUAGUCUCAACAUAAGCACAAAAACGCUUACUUGGUAUAGCAUAGCAGGCUUCCUUUUAUUCAUUAUUAAUUUUUUUAAUGCUAUGUAAUGACUUGAUUUGCUGUGUUUUUUGUUUUUUUUUGGUAUUGUUUUUAAAUAGGCAGAAACAAAAUGGGAUUUCGCUCAUGUUCUGAAAGAUGAUGGCUUUUUAAAAC
rnacentral:lncRNA from 1 species